UCCGAAGUAGCUCAGUGGUAGAGCAAUCGGCUGUUAACCGAUUGGUCGUAGGUUCGAAUCCUACCUUCGGAGCCA
rnacentral:tRNA from 3 species